AGAAAUGUGGCAGUCUGCUUUUGUGAAGAUUGCAGCUUUGGAGAUCCUGUGAGCACUUCUAGACUGUUCUCGAGGGUCACUGUGAGUCCAAAUAGACUGAGUGGCAAGAGGCAUGUAGCCCACGUGGGUUAUGCAAGAUGUGCUUAAUUUAUACCCCUCUUUAAUGUUGUAUGCCACAAAACACAUAAACAGACUUAUUAAAGAAAUAAAAAUGAAUGAUAAAAAUAUAUCAAUACACAAGAAAAGUUUCUCUUAAACUUUUUGAGGAAGAAAAAUAGGAAUAGUAUCUCUUAAGAGUAGUAUUCACUUGAAUUUCUGACAUCCGGAAAGAGUUUUUGUUGUGUAUUUAUUUAGCCUGGAGCAGUGUUUCCCAGCCUGGUGAUACCACCCUCUAGUCUGGUGAUACCACCCUCUGGGGGCUCUAGAAUGAUCCAGGAGAUGAGCUGCAAAAACAGAUGUUGUGUGCUCUUUUGCUGUUACUAUUGCCCUCGCUUCGCUGCCUAUCCCAGGGCCUCCUCUGCUCAGUACAACAAUAUGUGUUUUAAAAAUAAAAAUUGAACUGAUUACCUCUAAA